GGGGUCGUAGCUCAGCUGGGAGAGCACCUGCCUUGCACGCAGGGGGUCAGGAGUUCGAUCCUCCUCGGCUCC
rnacentral:tRNA from 1 species